rnacentral:rRNA from 1 species
UACGAGGGGGGCGAGCGUUGUUCGGAAUUAUUGGGCGUAAAGGGUGCGUAGGCGGUUUGGUAAGUCUGAUGUGAAAUCUAUGGGCUCAACUCAUAGUCUGCAUCGGAAACUGCCGGGCUUGAGUGUGGGGAGAGGUGAGUGGAAUUCCUGGUGUAGCGGUGAAAUGCGUAGAUAUCAGGAGGAACACCUGUGGCGAAAGCGGCUCACUGGACCAUAACUGACGCUGAUGCACGAAAGCUAGGGGAGCAAACAGG